rnacentral:rRNA from 1 species
UACGUAGGUGGCAAGCGUUACUCGGAAUCACUAGGCGUAAAGCGCAGGUAGGCGGUUUGAUAAGUCUGUUGUGAAAGCUCCCGGCUUAACUGGGAGAGGUCAACGGAAACUAUCAGGCUAGAGUGUGGUAGAGGUAGCUGGAAUUCCCGGUGUAGCGGUGAAAUGCGUAGAUAUCGGGAGGAAUACCUAUGGCGAAAGCAGGCUACUGGACCAUCACUGACGCUGAUCUGCGAAAGCUAGGGGAGCAAACGGG